CUCUUCUUCCCUCUCUCCUUCCCUGUUCCCCCACCUCCGCCCCAAGUCGUAGACUCCCGUGCCCCGCCCCGGCGCUCGGAGCCUCCUUCCCGCCCCGCCGCGUAAGUGCGGCAACGGCCGCGUCAGUGGAGAGUGUGUCGAGUCACAGGCUGUCUUCCGCGCGGAGCGUCCCCGGCGGACGCUGCGCAGAUGGCUGCGACUGUAGGAGUCUUGCCGGGUAGUCUCUGUCGGUUCCGACUUAAACUCGUGAAAACUCGAAUAAGUGCUGUUGAUGUGAAAUCCGAGGAAAAGAGCAUUUGGGGGAAAAGGUCUUACUAUGUUUCCCAGGCUGGACUCAAACUCCUGGGCUCAAGUGGUCCUCACACCUCAGCCUCCUGAGUAGCUGGGACUAUAGAUGCAUGCUGCCAUGCCCUGCCAAAAUCAUAUUUUUGAAGAAUCUUCCCUGUUUAGUGGAAAUUGGAUGCCUGGAAACAACAUUUUCAGAAUCCUUGCCAGCAGAAUUCUGGGUUAGAGUCUAUCAACUCUAUCAAUUCUAUCAAUGAGAGGUGUCUGUGUGUUAUUUGAAAGACUGAAGACUGCUUCAGCAGCAGUGGAUGGAUUCAUGAGGAGCAACCUGAGAGAGGCCUUUUUGUAGAGGUCUCUGGGCAUUUACUUGAAUAUCACCCACCAUGGAGCAAGAAGACCUAUGUUCAUUGCCAGCUAUAUCCUGCAAUGCUUGUAACCUUUGAAGUUUCUGAAAGACACUAGUGACCCUGAGAGUUAGUGCUGGCUUUUUCUGACCUUCAUUCCACCAGUCCUUCCACUGAUUUUGUAAUCAUCGAAGUUACCGGAUAUAACAUCCUAUUGCUUGAAACAGGUUAUUUCCUUCCAAUCGCAUCCCAAAUGGAGGUUGCAGCAGGGUAGAGUCUUUGGACAAUCUUGUUUCCUGCUGCAUCCCCAGUGUCAAGAAUGCUGCUUGAACAUAGAAAGUCCUCAAUAUAUAUUUGCUGAAAUAAAAGUAAAAAUUCA